UACGGAGGGUGCGAGCGUUGUCCGGAAUCACUGGGCGUAAAGGGCGUGUAGGCGGCGCGGAUAGUCGGCGGUGAAAGCCCGGAGCUCAACUCCGGGUCGGCCGUCGAUACUUCCGGGCUUGAGCACUGUAGAGGCAGAUGGAAUUCCGGGUGUAGCGGUGGAAUGCGUAGAGAUCCGGAAGAACACCGGUGGCGAAGGCGGUCUGCUGGGCAGUUGCUGACGCUGAUGCGCGACAGCGUGGGGAGCAAACAGG
rnacentral:rRNA from 1 species